CUGAGCACAUAGUAUUGGACUUCCAGCAAUGAGCAAGAAGUAUUACUGCAAUUCUCCAAAGGGACCACGUGAGUUAAGAGGUGCAGACAGCCUGAAUUGGUGAUGAGGUGCAGGUGGAGAGGAUCAGGCCCCUGGGUGCCUCACCAGCUGGAAGCAGUAAAGGGGCUAGCUGAGAGAGCAUAAGGGAGGUGGUUGGGGUGGCUUUAAUAGUUGGGAGGAAGAAAGGAUGACUGGAUGGGUCUUGCUUGUUAAAGCUGAAGGAUUGGGCUUUGGUUUUUGUUUGUUUUGUCUUUGUUUGAGGAAGGCUUGGAAUGGGUGAUGUGUUAAGGAGCUGGAAAGACCUGUGCCUGUGCAAGCCCAGGUUGCAGGGGCCUGACUAGUUCUCAGACCUUCAGAGCCAGGUGGACAGUAUCUCUGCUUACUGCCUCGCAGCUUGAAGUCAGGCCUGAACUGCUGAAGUGGGAGUUGCAGAAUAGGCUUUUGAAGCUGGGUGAAGAGACCUGGGAAGUCUGUAGUCUGCUGGAAGUUGGAAACUUCAUGGAACAGACUGACCAAAGAAUUGUCAGCUGUUGCUUAACUAAGGCAGUGGAAGAUGGACAGCCAUCCCAGGUGCCUUUGUAACAAGAGACCAGUCGCAUGCAACUGCUCUUCUCUCCAGCAGUGGGCCAGCCACCUGUUCCCCAAACCUUGGGACUUGUCAGGCUGUGAAGAGAUGAGCCUGCAGCCCUUCAGGGAUCAGGACUUCUUUUGCAGGCUUGGACAAAGACUUAAGGUACAGUCAUGGCUCCCAUAAUUGCCACCCCUCAGUGGAGAAAAGGAGCAGGUGACCUGUUCAGUCCGAUGCCUUAUUGUUACAUGCCAAAGCAAGAGAACACAUGCUUGUUGCAGUGCAUGUCCAGCAACCCACAAGUGCACAACAAAUUCUCACUUGCACCAACUGGGGAAACUUGGGAGGGAGGUAGCACGCACUGGCAGCAGCUGGCUUAGAAUCUGGGAAGUUCUCGAACUUUCCCUUGUAGUCUGUGCCCUGUGUUUAGAGACAGCUUGUUCCAGUACCAUCGCAAAGGCUGUGACCUGUUUUUAUUGACAUUGCUUGGUUUCCCUGGAACCUCUUGGAACUGAAGCAAAGCAGUUCUUGUAUGGAUUGUGAAGGUGUCAGUUAGGUGGGGUUUUCACCUUUCUGUGCAAGAUGCAGAACCCUCCCUUCCAGAACUGUAUCUUUCCCCACACCAUCGUGGAACGCUGCUGCUGCUGUUGCCUGCACCUAUUGUGUGUUCUUCUCGCCUCUGACUUAUGGUCCAUGCUGGCAAAGCUGCUAGAAUUAUGGAAAAGAAAAAAGCUUUGUUCCAAGGAACUGGACACGUGGGUAGAUAUAUUUUCCUCUAACAGAUGCAUCUGGUUAGAUCAGUUGCUGUUACUAAGGCAUUCAAGCCAAAGGCAUGAUGCUGUGUAUUGGGAUGGUCUACUUAAGUAUGCCAUCAUUUAGGCCAUUUGCUCUAUUUGCUUUGGCUUAGUUGGAUGAGUUGAUUUAUUCCUUUCCUUGACUGAUGAAACAAUGGUAAUAUCUGUAAGGCUCACUUGGUCUCCUAGAAACAGUUUGGACGCCUCCUGCUUGAGCCAUGCUAUUGUAGUAUGGCUUAAGAAUUGCGAAUGGCCAUGAUGGGCCCGAAGGGAGGAUUACCAUAUGGAGUUAGCAAGAACACCUUAUCACUUGGAGACUAACUGGCUAUUUAUAUAAAAAUAGGUGGUGGGGCACUACAGCUGUUGCCUUCAGCUACUAUUAACACGUUCCGAGAGACAACUCCUUGUUCCUCGUCUAGCGCAUUACUGUUGCCCUCAACCAAGAGACUUGCUUCCUUUUUUUUUUUUUUUUUUUUCCCCAGGCUAUGGCUUGGUAGUGUGUAGAUUAUGCUGCUCUAGAUUAGCAUAAGCACAUAGUAUCCCCAAUACCAACUUGUGCAAGGACCACUGUCUGCACCUGUCAUUGUGUGGCUCCAGUUACUGACCACAGCUCUGGCCUGCACAUCAGCAACCAGCUCUGGGAUCCAGAAACUAGACUGUUCAGUCUUCCCUAAGGCAGUGAGAUCUGGUGGGUUCCAGGUUAUCCUGCACAGUCCCUGCAGGAGAGACUGCCUACUAUGGUGGUGUCCUCAAUGGUGAAGGCUGCUGCCUGUCAAUGUGAUCUGCAGACCUGCCUCGGGGACCCUUGCUGCCAGUUACCCUCAAGCUGUCUGCCAAGCUAAGCUCCUGCUGGAAGAGGUGGAGGCUAGAGCAGGACAUGGACUACAGCUCCAGACCAAGACCGCACUGAGUCCAGCUAACGAAGUGGGACCCAGACGGCCUUGUGCUGAUGUCUCUGGCCACCUGAUGGAAGUUCUGGCUGCAUGGCCAAGUCCUGGAAGAAGGUAAUGACCUGGCUCAUCCACAAAAACAGUGAGCCUGACCAUCUGCAUCCCUGAAGGGCCCAUCACCCUUUGCUCCACCAUAUUUAAAUGUAAACAAUAUGCUGGGCCACAACACAGCUCAGAUCAUGGACUGGGCAGUGAAUGGGUGGAUUGUAGCCUGAACCAGAAAGCUUUCAUGUCCAGCGAGGGCUGUUGAAUGCACCUUGGCUGCUGAUGACCCACGACAGCACCCAGACAGCAAGGUGUCCACGUGGAGGUCAGUGCAGGCCUCUGGCUCAGUGCCUCAGCCAUGCGUCUUCCAGGAGCUGGGAUAUCAGGCCAGAUGUCCACACAUGGUCCCCAAGGCCUACAACAGCUACACUGUCACUUCCUGAUCAUAAUGGUGAAAUGCUGUUCCGAACUUGAAAUGAGGCUGCCUCCCAAGUCCCACCAUUGGAGGCUUACUAAGGGCCCAGGACCAAAAGCUAAACCUCCUGGCUUCUGAGGGUGACUUGAUGAACUCCUGAAGGUGCUGGACAACAGCUGUGAGGCAGCUGACUGAACAGAGCUUUUGUUCCCCUCCAGUCCAAGGUGCCCAUAUACAUCAUCACCUCUGGAAAGAGAAACUUAUGGCCCCCGGUAACAGGAUCCCGGGUGAGCCCAUGAGAUACAUGAAGGGUAGUGAGGCUUACCUCAGCCUUGGCUCAGACAUGGAUCACUGUGCAAAUGGAUGUGGGAGAACAUCAUGCUGGGGACCAGUUAGGAUGCCUACCAAUUGGACUAAUCUGUGGGUACCCUGGAAGAAGAUGCAGGGAGUACCUUGUCUCUGGCUGCAGCUUUUGGCCCUGUUCCAUCUUGACAGCGGCUUCCAGUUCCAGUACCGACCCCCUGAUACCCCCAGUCCCUAGGAAACCAGUUUGGACUGCCCUCCAUGCUUCAAGUAUCCAAUCAUUAGGCCAGACCACCAAUGCCUCGGUCCCAACCUUUUACCUGGACCAGUCUUUUUGGAGCUGUGGGGCAGGACCCAAAGUAGAAAUACAAACUCCGUUCUGCCCGAGAAUCCCUGCAAGCCCUCCAACCCCCUGAAUCCCAAGAAAUGAUGGCCCAUCUCCAGCAGGCAGUUCAGCAGCUCCAGGCACUGUUUGAACAGCUAGAGGGGAAAAACCAGAGCUGUUGGACUGCCUGGAAGGGGCACAGGCUAAGGCUGGAGCCUGGCAAAUGCUGAGCAAAACCAUCCCCAAGAGACGAAGCAACAAUUGAGCCUCGGCUGGGGCCCUGCUGUCAGAAGACUGCUGCUGCUACCACAAGUCCCACUCCCAGUGCACUUGAGCCAGAUCCAAAGAAGUGUUUUGGGAUUCCUGGAUCAGCGUUGCCUGCUCUUUCCACUGUGCCCCAUCAUCUGUUCCACAGACCAGGCCAAGAUGGGAUUAAUGAUUGGCCUGCUUGCAGGGAGAAGUCCUGACCCGGGCUUCCUUGCUCCUCAAGGGCUUCAGUCUUUCAAAUGUCCAUCCAAGCCUUACAGGGAAGAAGUCCCAUAGGCACCUGCCCACCCCUUGCAGUUCAUCUCUGCCAAAAUAGCCCCCUAAAAUGUUCAGCAUGGCAGCCAGCUAAAGCCCACAGUGGCUCACGUCAGUGGUAGGCCCCUGGCCUCAAGUGGAAUGAGGUGAUUGAAGUUGUGGCAAUUCUGCCAGAGGCUUAGUGAGGAGCUGAAGGAUGAACUUGUUCCUGUUGAGUCCCCUGCUUGCUUGGGGCCCUUGACUGAGCUCUUUGUGGAUCUACCACUGCCUUCCAGAGGAGUGUGUGGAAAAGAUGGCCAUGAGAGCAGACCCCACACCACAAUCCCAGGUCUCCUGGUGCCCCAGGAAGAUCUACUGCUCUAGAAAUCCAGGGAACUGUAUCUGUGGGAGACCUAGAACAACCAGCUGUGAGCUUUGGGCCUCUGCUAGUCUUGUGGAGCACAAGGACCUUGCCCAUGCCAUCUGGUUAGCAGUACAGCUGUCAGUCCUUGUGGGCUUGGGUGCUAUGGACAACUUAAUGGACAAGUGUUUCUGCAAAGAGAGGUGCCUCCUAGUGAGGCACAGGGUGAACCCCAUUACAAUGGAGUAGUCCAUUGUGGGCAUCCCACUCAACUUGGAUCCAGUAACUUUGGACAUUUGUUUUGGCUGCAUGGGGUGCUUACCUGUACUGUAUCAGUCUUGGGCCCUCUGUUCAUGUCCAACAUGUGGGAUUUCCUGUCCCUUUUGGGGGUAGAGCAGGAGCUCUAGUCUGGCUGACACUGGCAGACAAGGCAGAACCAGGUGCUGGAGCAAUACUAAAUGAGGCUUCCUUAACUGCCAUCACCACGACUGGCUUGUGCUCCUGCCCGUGCCUAAAUCUGCAUACAACAACUUGGAUCUGUCAUCCAGCCAGUGCAGCCCCUUGAUGCCAAGUGUGGGUUUCAUCCCUACUUCCCCUCAGUCCUGUCCAACAUCUCCACCCAUGUAGUCACAGAACUGGGAACCCACUUGCAGUGUAUAAAUGAUGACUUGAAGUACCACCACUAGCCUGCCAAGAAGGUCUAGUUUUAGGCUACAAACAGUGCUCGGGGGGGGGGGGGGCUCCACAUCCAUUGUAGGAGUAAAGAAUCGCUCUCUUCCUAAUACCUGAAAGCCACCUCUCAACUCUGACAAGCAAGAUCUUGGGUAUCUAGGACUCUAUGCCAUCUCUGCAGUCAUCAACAUGGUGUCCUUCUGCUUGUAGCUAUCUGAUGUUCUGCGUGCCCACCCUGUCUUCUACAUCUCCCUGGCAAAGCUAUGCACAAAGACAACCUAUUCCUGGCAGUCCCCAAACCAUCCUCUUUGGCUGGGGGCAUAAGGAAUUCCAACUCAAAAAAUCACCAUUGACAACCAGAAGUUAGGGAGGAAAUGGUAUUAAUGUGUUUGACUGGCAAGGUUAUGGACUGGCAGACUAUUUCUAGCAACCUGCAGAAAAUGCAUGAGCCCCUGACCUAGUACGAGCCUUCUGUCAGAGCCUCCCAAAGAAGGCUAGCCCAAAAGCCCCCACUUCUAGCACAAUGCCUGCAUAUACUGUAAGGAGGCCAGAUCAGGGCCCUGGACUUGCAGGUUCUCAAUCUGAUCUUAUCUCCUGAGCAGGUGGCAUCUCAGCAAGGUCAGAGCAGAAGCCUGGUCCCACCUGGGCUCAAUGAGGCCAUCCAGGCAGUCAAGCUCCUGAAGCCACUUCCUAGUCUAACAGAAGCCAGACCAGAAACGAUGGUGCCCAAGAUGUUUUACCCUCGAGCUUUACUGACCACUUCAUGCUAAAAGGGGUGGUGAGUAUGGAGAAAUGUUGUGUAAUGAUGGGUCUUCUGGAAAUACAAAUAUGUGGUUGGAGGAGUGUAGGGGCUGUAGAGAGCUCUUGUAAGGGGUGGUGGGCACUGUAAAUCUGUGUUAGGAAUACGUGGGAAUGGUGGCGCACAGUGCUGAUGUCUCAGCAGUAUGUGCAUAGUGCUGAAGGAAAGGAACUGAGCAGUUUGUCAUGAGAGCGGGUGGUAGAGGAUGAGGUCAAGGAGGGAGAGCUUGAGGUGAAGUUGUGCUCCAGUGCCUCUUAAUGCCUGUGGAGUGGGGCAGGGCAUUCGGGACUGACCUGGAUGUCAUCAAGAGGGCCACAGGAAAGGCUUGGUUUGUUUUAUUCAUGUCCCGUGAACAGAGGGCUGGUCUUGCUACUGUUGGAUAGGUGUAAGGACUUGGCUGUUAAAAGGGCGCAGCAGUACACUAGACUGCUGAGGGAAGUUGUGGAGCCUUCAUCACUGGGGGUGUUGAAAAAGAGGUCGGGUAAACAUUGAUCAGGAAUGAUCUAGGAGUAACUGUGCCUAUGCUUUACUCCGCUUGUGUCUCAUGAGGCAACCAGUGAAGCCCAGAAGCAUGAGGCUGGGAAAGACUCUUUUCUUUGUCCUUUGCUGUGUGUUGUGGUAGGCAUGUUCCUUCCUCAGGAGCACUGAGCGACUGUCACCAAGGCUGGAGACUGCCAAUACUCCUUCCUCAAGUAAAACCUGUAGGUUCCUGGCUAGAGGGACUUGCCCCUUUGCUCGGGGUCAAGCUGGUCACCCAGUUUGAGGUCAGGAAGAAGUUUUACCCCUUGGUCAGAUGGGUACAGAUUGUGGGGAUGAGUGCCUUCUUGUAGCAGAGGCAUGGACCUCUUCCUUGUGUGCCAUUCAGCAUCUUUUAACAACCCUUGCAGAAGGAGGACAUGGGUUACUUUUGCCACAGGUGAAGCAAAAGGACAUGUUGGGGUCGUAUGAUUUGUGGGUGUGACAAUGCCAUUGGUUUAGUUCUAGUAGUAAUAUGGUGCUGUGGGUAGAGAUGACCCUGCCUUGGGCAGGGGCUGGACUAGAGGACCUCUUGUGGUCCCUGCCAGCUCUGUCUUUCUCUCUUUUGAGGAAGAAGUGGUACCCUGAUCAGAAUGCCCCUGUGGAGAAGGGGAUGAUCUGUGGAAGCCAUGCAAAGAUUUCACCAUGGGAUGUUGAGAGGAGGGAUGUGGGCAUGGUAAUGCAGCCAUCUUAAUGGUGAUCCCUACUGUACCUUUAGGUUAUUCCUGCUGCCUCGCUAUUCGCUGCUCUUUGCCUUAAUGCUCUUUCUAAUGACAUGCCCCGUGACUUGUUUCUUGCUAGAGGAUGUUUUGAUCUUCAUGUAGGCUGUACAGCACGCUUUCUGCCUUCUAUUUUUUUAUUAAGAAAAUAUUAAAUAUUUCUUUAUCUCUCCACACCGCCUCCUUUUGUCAAUAUCUCACAAUAAACAAUAUCAUACAUGAAUCAAUAAUGCAUGACACAAUCGUGGGAACUUCCUGUCUCCUUUCUGCAUCACAAUUUCUUCACAAUUGGAUCACCAGAUCCUCCUCUUACAUAAUCAGCAAUGCAAUCCAUGACAAUACCUUUUGCUCUCUCAUACAGGUUCUUGGGACACUUUCAACGUUUAUAAUGCAUCCUGAUAUUUUACAAAAUCUUUCUCUGUGGUCUCGUAUUUCCCUUCUUUUUAUUUGCCUUUACCACAUUUUCCACACGUCUUUAUUUAUAGCAUACACAACUCGUUUUUGUUUCAGUAUUACUGUUUUCCUCACUUGGUUUUCACCUUCCCUGAUUCCUGACGCAUUUCCUUUCCCUACUUCCCGAUGCUUUUUCUUUCCCUCCUCUCUCUCCCUCCUUUUCUUUCCCUACCCUAUCCUGGCUGGCUGGAAUAAUUCCUGCCACCGAACGCCUUGCCAUGCCCUACUCCCUUUGCCCUUUUCUCCCUUUCCCUUCAUGUAGUCUUUAAUCUCAUAAUACCCCAGCUGUACGCAUUCCCUUUGUGUAAAGCAUACCCCCUUCCCUAUCAACAAGCACCUCACUUUCCAUAAUGGCACCCUCAUCCCCAUCAAAAUCACCCGCACUUCCCAUUGCCUUUCUCCUUGUUUCACCGGUCCAUAAACCACGGUCUCAUAGGACACCCCCUGUGCCCACCCUAUCGCCCUUAGAAACUUCCCUACUCUUCCCCAUACCCUUCUUGCAGACGUGCACUCCCAAAAACCAUUUUCUUCCUUUGUACAGAACUCCCCCGGGCUUUCUGCCGAUCUCACCAGCCUCCAUCGGUGUAGUACUUCUCUGACUGAUAGCACCCGCCUAACUAUACACCACGCUAUUUCCCUGUGAAACCCUUUCCACCUUGUGUCUUCUAUUCCCCUCCAUACCUCUCUCACCUGUUCCCAUGCCAAAUUCCCCACAUCCGUUAACCCAUCUUCCUCCCUAAUUGUGUUGAAAAUUACCCUCGCCUUUUGUAAUCCUUCCAUCCCGUUUUACCAAACCUUUUGCCCUGACAAAUGCCGCCAGCCUAUCCAUGUGCUGUGAUGGUUUCCCUGCCCACAUGCCUGUCCACCUUUCUCCAAAUAUCCCCCAUUCCUCAAAACUCUACCUCCCCAGUACUUUACCCAUUUCCCCACUAUUCCUUCCCCUCUCUGUGCCUCCCUGUCUAAUGCUGCCACCCUGUGCCCAUAUAUGAACGUUUCCAUCUCUGGAAAACCCCAUCCCCCUAGCUCCCCCGCUUUAUAAAGCUCCCUACGUGCUACCCUCUCUCCCUUACUUCCCCAGAAAAACACACACAAUUCCCUUUGUAUCCUCCUCGCUUGCCUCCACGAUGGAGGGUAUACCCACCCUAUGAACAGCAGGAUGGGUAAGAUCACAGACUUGAUUAGCUUUACCUUCCCUGUCUUAGACAAACCUCUCCCUCCCCAUAUUCCCAGCACCUUUUUUCCUCAUCCUAUUCUAUGCUUCUGGAGGAAUAGCACGUCCUUUAACUUUUAGUACCCUCUUAAUCUCCUCCCAUUUACCUCCAUCUCGGCAAACUUCUCAUGUUCCACAAUAUUAAAUGCAUUCCCCUGUCUUACUCCCCAAGUGUCCUCCCCCCUCCCCCCUCAUACCUCCAUUUCUUCUCAACCCCCACCUUCCACAUCCCUGUUGCUUAAGCCUAGCUUCCAAUAGCUGAUGGGCUAUUAGAAAAGCUGCCCCCACCCAGACUCUCCUCCUGAUUUCACUCUUGCACCAUUUGUCAGUCUUGCUUCUUCCCCUAUAUCUUUUCCUUUCUCACUCCUCUUCUCUUGUUCUUCCCGUUUUUGCUUUGGUAUCCCCACUUUCACUCUUUGGUUGGUUGCAUGAUGUUUCCAGCAAGGGCUUUCCCUGCCCAACAGAAUUUCCAAAUAGUUACUUACACCAAUUAACCCCAUCCCCCUUGCACUCCCUGUCACUUUUUCUCCUGCCUCCCUCUCCUCUACUGUGGCUGUCCAUUGCUCUACAACAAUUUCUACAGUUGAUGUAGCCAGCUUCUCUACUUCCUCAAAUAAAUUCAUCUUUGUCCUGAGCUCCAGUACUCUCCCAGCCAUCUUCCUUCCCAUACUGAAUGUUUCCAUCCUCUGAAGGGAUACCAGGGACUUGCUGUCCCCUUCCAUCUUCUCUCCCUCCCGUUCUGACACUUCCUUCCUUAUGAGUGGGGGCACUCUUCAAAAUUGUGCCCCUCCUCCCACCAUGUUUUUGCACAUUACUUCAGCCUUGCAUACCCCUGCCCUAUACACCAUCCCACUGCAUCAGCAACUUGUUGUCCAUUGACAAUAUGUUUCAAUGGGCCCUGGUCCAUUAUAUUUACUAUGUCACCUUGGUUGACCAAAAUAAUAGAUAUAUUCCCUAUGGGGACCCAAACAGAAGCUGGAAGGAAGAUGUUUGAUUCCUCAAUGAUCUCUCGCCACUCCAGCUCUCCGUGAACCGGUCCGUAUUUUGUUCUUAUUGAAAGCUCUGUCCACCCAAAGGACUCUCUUUUUACUUUAGCCUCCAGACAAUGUUGGAUGUCCUCCAGUUCAAUUACAUCAUUGAAGGUUCUUAAAACAGCCCUCUUUCAUGGGAGUCUGCUCUGGCUUGAAAGCGCAGUUCUGUUAAUUGUCUCUUCCAUGCUAAUUCCUCUGCAUGCCUCUCCCAAAAGACACUAUAUGCCUUCCUUUCCCUAAAACGUUCUGUCCCAGAUGCAAUAAUUUUCAUGUGCCACCAGGAUGCUUACAGGUUUUCUUUUAUUAAUAAGGUAACGAAUUUAAAAUGCCCAACCUCAACCAAACUUUCCACCUUGCAACACAAAACCCAACAGAACCAUCUCCAGAUUUAGAAGCAUCUACAACCCUUUAUCUUUCAGCCACAGAUACCUUGCACAACCUGGUUCCAUGUCACCUUACACAUUGGUAAAUCAUAUACCCAACAUGUUAAAGAUUUCUGUUAUCUGUAACACAUUUAACAAAAGUGUGUAUGUAUGUAUUUACAACUGGCUUAUCUUCAUCCCCACUGCUUCACCUCUUACACAUCCCUUAUCAUAAUCGUCAUCCCUCGACACCACACUUGCUGCCCC